GAUGAACGCUGGCGGCGUGCCUAAUACAUGCAAGUCGAGCGAACAGAUGAGGAUCUUGCUCCUCUGACGUUAGCGGCGGACGGGUGAGUAACACGUGGAUAACCUACCUAUAAGACUGGGAUAACUUCGGGAAACCGGAGCUAAUACCGGAUAAUAUAUUGAACCGCAUGGUUCAAUAGUGAAAGACGGUUUUGCUGUCACUUAUAGAUGGAUCCGCGCCGCAUUAGCUAGUUGGUAAGGUAACGGCUUACCAAGGCAACGAUGCGUAGCCGACCUGAGAGGGUGAUCGGCGACACUGGAACUGAGACACGGUCCAGACUCCUACGGGAGGCAGCAGUAGGGAAUCUUCCGAGAUGGGCGAAAGCCUGCCGGAGCAACGCCGCGUGAGUGAUGAAGGUCUUCGGAUCGUAAGACUCUGUUAUUGGGGAAGACCACUUGUGUAAGUAACUAUGCACGUCUUGACGGUACCUAAUCAGAAAGCCACGGCUAACUACGUG
rnacentral:rRNA from 1 species